rnacentral:lncRNA from 1 species
CGAAGGCACGAAGAUUAUGUUUAGAUGCAAGCGUAAUAAUACAUCACAAUAUCUACUUCAUAUUAAUUGAUACAAGAGAUUGUUCUAUAUUGGUAAUUCAUAUUGUUCGAACUUGUUAAUAAAUACAUAUAUACAGUAAUGAUCGAAUAACAUAUCACGAUUACAAUGAACUUUUACACCAAGAACAAUUACAGGAAACAUUGUUACGAAAUAAAAUAGGCAGAAACAUUUCAUGGAGCUCCUUUCUUUUGUUUCCCUUUCUUUUCCAUAUCUCAUUUUUCUCUUGCGGAUAGUAAUAUUUAGGAGAGAGACCUCAACGUCGUGUUCUUCAAUUAUUUUAGCAGCAGUCUUAAACAUAGAAGAUGUAUCUUCAACUUGGAUUGCCCUUCAGUGAACAGGCUUUAUGAACAUAGAUUCUCUAGAAUGCCAAAGUUCCUAAAUUUAUAUUCAUCUCCAUUUAACAUAGAAAAGAAAGAAAUUAGGCAAAUAAAUUCAUACUCAUAUCUCAAUUCAUAUUUAUUUCAUUUUUGUAAAUUCAUAUCUCAAGUUAACAAAUAAAAGAAGAGAAACAUGAAAAUAACAGAAAUGGAAAGGGAAACGACAA